CAAAGACCUUGUUCUCCAGGUUUCAACAGCUGAUGAAGAGAAUCUGUGGGUCUAUACCAUUGCCAAUAAAAAAAGAAAAAGAAAUACCAGAUCAAGGGAAGAUAAAAUUUACUGACAACUCUUGCCACCACUGCCACAAGACCACCAGGGUCAGCACCGCAAACUGCCAGAAUACGAGUUCAACACAGGGUUACUUAGGUGUACACGACUGUUUGUUUAAAUGAGAACCCGGAUCGGUUUCCCCACCAUUGGAGGUAAGACAACUCUUUUUGCAUAACCACCAGAUAGGGCACUACACAAGGUAUUUUACACAUAUUAGGUGGGAUGGCACAACAGAUUCCAAGCUUUAGCAUUACCAGACCAAGUGUGCUUCCAGCCUCUCUGCAUAUAAGCUGAGUUAUCUUGAAUAACAUAUUUGUCCUCUUUGAGUCUGAGUUUCCUCAUCUCUAAAAUAUGUACAUUUCUGACUAACUUGUUAGGAUUAAAGAGAGAAAGCAUCUAGUUUAUAAUACUGGAGACAUGAUAAAUAUUAGCAAUUAUUUUGUCACCUAAUUAGUAGACAGUUGUCUAUAUUUGCAGUUUUUAAAACACGUAAUGAAAUACAACAAAAAGAUUAUUGGCAAAAACAAGUUCUGUUCAAAUCUUUAAAAGUGAUGAGCUUCAUUUAGUUCAAGUGUAGGUAAAGUUUUGUUUGCUUUUCCCCAAACCAAAAAAGCAGUUUGAGAUAACUUAAUGUUAUAAUCCUAAGAGGUUCAAGGUGGUGUUUUUGUCAACACAAGUAGAAUCUUGUAAUAUACACAUUACACUGUGAUGAAGUCAAACACAAUACAUUUUUUUCAGCAAC